rnacentral:lncRNA from 1 species
GGGGGCUGGAGGUUCGGUGCCGAGGGCGGGCUAGGAAACCUGUGCAGGUCCCCGGGGAGCCUGGGAGGGAAACCGAAGACUCUCCUUCGGGGCCACAGCCUCACCUCGAGCUCUUGGAGCUUGUUUGGCGAGGGUUUAGCCACCUGCCCCCCGCUCCACGGUGUCCGUAGGAUUCUAUGCAUGACUGUGGAACAAGACCACACCCACUGGUCGGACACUGGAUCAACGCAUCUACACCAGUGUGGACAACCCUGGUCACUCUUUCAUCAAGACUUUGGGCAUGGUGGCUGGAAAUGAGACCUGUGAGAUGUUUGCUGACCUGUUUGACCCUGUGAUCCAAGAGUAACAUGAUGGAUAUGACCCC